UACGUAGGGUGCAAGCGUUAAUCGGAAUUACUGGGCGUAAAGCGUGCGCAGGCGGUUUUGUAAGUCUGUCGUGAAAGCCCCGGGCUCAACCUGGGAAUUGCGAUGGAGACUGCAAGGCUUGAAUCUGGCAGAGGGGGGUAGAAUUCCACGUGUAGCAGUGAAAUGCGUAGAGAUGUGGAGGAACACCGAUGGCGAAGGCAGCCCCCUGGGUCAAAAUUGACGCUCAUGCACGAAAGCGUGGGGAGCAAACAGG
rnacentral:rRNA from 1 species